UGGCUCUAGAAUCUUCAGAUCUAUGAUCAUUGAUUGUGGUGUAUUUCAACCCAUGCGAAGUAUUGAGAUCUGAUCUUUAUUUUUAUUUUUAUUUUCAGAUUAUGUGUAUGUAUUUAAUUCAGAGCUCAGAUAGAUAUAGAUUAGAUCUAUUGCAUGUGGACUUAAAGUGUUUAACCUAGAUCGUUUCUACUGUUACUUCAAAAAAAAAAAUUGAAAUCUAUGCAUGCAAUCC
rnacentral:lncRNA from 1 species